rnacentral:rRNA from 1 species
UACGUAGGGUGCGAGCGUUAAUCGGAAUUACUGGGCGUAAAGCGUGCGCAGGCGGUUUGUUAAGACAGAUGUGAAAUCCCCGGGCUAACCUGGGAACUGCAUUUGUGACUGGCAAGCUAGAGUAUGGCAGAGGGGGGGUAGAAUUCCACGUGUAGCAGUGAAAUGCGUAGAGAUGUGGAGGAAUACCGAUGGCGAAGGCAGCCCCUGGGCCAAUACUGACGCUCAUGCACGAAAGCGUGGGGAGCAAACGG